rnacentral:rRNA from 1 species
GACGAACGCUGGCGGCGUGCCUAAUACAUGCAAGUUGAGCGCUGAAGGUUGGUACUUGUACCAACUGGAUGAGCAGCGAACGGGUGAGUAACGCGUGGGGAAUCUGCCUUUGAGCGGGGGACAACAUUUGGAAACGAAUGCUAAUACCGCAUAAAAACUUUAAACACAAGUUUUAAGUUUGAAAGAUGCAAUUGCAUCACUCAAAGAUGAUCCCGCGUUGUAUUAGCUAGUUGGUGAGGUAAAGGCUCACCAAGGCGAUGAUACAUAGCCGACCUGAGAGGGUGAUCGGCCACAUUGGGACGGAGACACGGCCCAAACUCCUACGGGAGGCAGCAGUAGGGAAUCUUCGGCAAUGGACGAAAGUCUGACCGAGCAACGCCGCGUGAGUGAAGAAGGUUUUCGGAUCGUAAAAAUCUGUUGGUAGAGAAGAACGUUGGUGAGAGUGGAAAGCUCAUCAAGUGACGGUAACUACCCAGAAAGGGACGGCUAACUACGUG